CAGAUGGCAUUAGAGGUGCUCCCUCAGUCCACCAUGCACCUGAAGAAAGGGAGUGUUCAUUGUACAGCUGUUCCUGUAGAGGCCACAGUCUGACCCUUGUCCUGGUGCUCAGGGACCUUACCAGGCUGGUGCAGGGCUCGGUAGUGGCAGAUAUGGAUGUCCCCAGAGUGUGCCACGCUGGCAAAGUAGGCACAGCCCUGAGGGAUCGCCCUUUUCAGUUACUGUGGGCUUCUUGCUCUUUUCUGUUCUGUGCUCAUCACUUCCAGUGGUGUCUGGGAGUGAAACAUAGCUUGCUGUGUGACUGACAGCCCUUCAAGCUGCUCAGCAAACCUUGGGCCUUAUUUUGAAAGGCCUCUGAAAGAAAAAGAAUUGUGUACUCUCUGAAUGCAGGGCUGCUGAACCACUGCCAACCCCAGGCUGCUCCAUUCAAAGGGCUGAGUGAAUAAAUGAGAAUAACAUCCUUGGGGACCUCAGGGAUCGGUUUACUCUGAAAAUCCUCAGCCUUACAAAGGGUCAGAGUCACAAGGUUCAGAAAUCCUUGUACAAGGCAGGACAGACAUCACUGUCUUAUGAUCCAGUUCCUGUGUCAACCAUUAGAAGCUUCGAAGGGCACAUUUAACUUCUCUGUACCUCAACUUCAUCUACGAAGUGCAGAAACAGAAUCACUAGUUUAAUCCUACCUACUGUGCAAAAGAGGCACAAGUAAACUGUAGAAAUCUUAUUUUGGCAGAUAAAUUAAUGGAGUAAGAAAUUCGUUUGUUACAGAGCACAUCAACAAAGAAGGUAUUUGAUGGUUUAUUUUUAAACAAAAGCAGGUAGUUCAUGAAACUCAAGUUGGGUUUUCUAAUAGGACUGAGUGCCUAACAGAGGAUUUGGAGUCCCUCUGGAUGCUCUGAAGUCUAACAUGGAUCAAGGUCGUGCUGCUGCAUACCCAGGGUGUGGGCAAUAAUAGGAUUUCCUUUUAACCUGCCACCUGUUUUCCCACACAAGUGGGAGCUUUGCUAUCUUUGAGAUCUCUAUCACCUCUGUCAAAUUUAGCUGAAGUAGGUCAAAGGGUUCAGAAGUUACUCAUGUUGAUAUAAGAUUCAUUUCCUUAGGAAAUCAGGCUGAGAAAGCAUUUUGGUUUAGAGUACAUUCAAGGCUGUAGCAUGCCAUAAUUCGCUGUAGCUGUGAGCAUCAUUGUAUAAAUGAAUACACAUGCACACACAUUUCCUCAUGCCUAGCAGAAGCAAUAAGCAGAAUCAAUCAUGUAUUUGUAAUUGUGUUUAUUUUUCACAAAUAUCUUUUUAGAAAGGAUUCUCUUAAACCAAACAUUUGAGAAAUGGCCCAAACUGGGAUUUAUCUCAAUGAUGUGUGUGUGCGAUUAUAUGGUGGACAUUUUUCUUUACAGGAGAAAAAACUCAACUGGCACAUGGAGUUCAUUAAAAUUGAACUAAUGGUUUCAAUCAUGUUUCUAAUAGUGUAGAAUAGGUAGUCAGCAAUGUGGACUGUGAAUAAGCCUGUGUGAUACCUACUGAAAAAUAUGUGCUUUUGUUUUCCCUCCCAAGAUAGGCAAACUGUUUGUUGCUGAAAUGCUUUAUUUUUACAAAUGUGAAUAAGGAGAAACAUGAAUGAAGAAAACUAUGAAUGAGUACAAUGAGUAAAUAUGGUUAGUGCAUACAAAGCCUUGCUAUAGAUGGAUUGAGCUAAGUAGGGACAAAGAGGCCUGUAUCUGCCAUAGGGUGGACGAUUGAUGUUUCUCUUCAAUGCAGUCAUAGGGAAGGACAGCGUAAGAACAAUACAGGUCAGAAUCUCUUUUAUAAAGCGCCAACUUGUUCUAAGCCUCAGGCAGACAAAAAGCAGAGUGGUUCAGCUUAACUUACUAAUACAGUCGGUGCCAACAUUUUCUUUCUUUAAAACUCCUUGUUUUCCUAAUUCCUACAAUCACUUUUUAAAAAGUAUACAUCAGACAGUUUUUGAUAUUUCAGUUUUCUUCGGUGCUGCAGGGUUUUUGUUAAUGUGGUUUUUGUUAAUGGCUGCCCCACAUACGGUCCCCUUAGGCUUUGUAGGUUUUCUUCUUCAAAACCUUUGCAAGUUAUGCUCUCUUUGUUUUGUUUUCCCAGUGUUACCCAGAAGCAAAACUUUGGAGUUUCAUUCCAAAUAAUGUGCUCAGGGCGAGAGCAAUGUUUUACAUCAGGGGCUGUGGAUUUGUCUUCAGCCUUCAGAGGGCAGCCCAAGGCAGCAGACAGAGUACUGAAACCUCCUCUUGGGUGAGGUUUGCACCCUCCUGUCAUACUUUAUACUGAGCUCUUUCCCAGACAACAUUUUUGAUUAAUGGCAUUAUUCCCCUCAUGGUGUGCUUAUGCAAGGCGAUACCCAAGCGUGGCUCUCCCUCUGUGCGGACAUAACAGCAUGACCAAAACGCAAGGUGAUGGCUUGCUGGACAGGCUAUUGUGGGAGAUCAGUAGAAGAGAAAAAGGAAGCACCUUUUCUGUGUUGUGUUUCUGUGCAACAGAAACUUAUCUAUAGAUAUGGCUACAACACUUCCGUUUUCAGAAUGGAAAACUGCACAUCAUUUCUUCAAGAAUUAAUAUAAGGCCUUGUCUCUUGUUCAAAUUUUAAUUAUGAUUAGUUCUGCUGGUAUGAUGGUGACAGUAAUUUCAGUGUGCCUUCCCCAAAACAAAACAUGGAUUGUUUAAUUUCAUUCUAAAAUCCAAAAAAAGUGGUCUAGAUAUAUGUUGAAAGACCUAUUGGCUUCCACCGGGCAUAACACAGAAACAGUUGGCCUCCUAUCUACUUCCCUCACCUUGCUUUUAAUUCUCCCUUUUCCCUUGCUUUUUAAUAUCAACUUUCACUCUUUAUUGCCCCAGACCUACAUGUUUCAUAGAUCAAGUAACUUCUAAUAAGAAAAAUUUAGUUGAUUUAUAAGGGAUGUAAUCACAUAGUAAGAAUCAUUAAGGUUGGAAAAGACCUCCCAGAUCACUGAGUGCAACCUUUGACAGAACACCACCAUGUCAACUAAACCACAGUAUGUCCACUUGUUUCUUGAACAUUUUCAGGGAUGGUGACUCCACCACCUCCCUGGACAGCCUCUUCCAGAAAAGAAAUUGUUCCUGAUGUCCAACCUGAACAUCCCCUGGUGCAGCCUGAGGCCAUUUCCUCUUGUUCUGUCAUGAGUGGCCUGGGAGAAGAGGACAAUUCCCACCUGGCUACAACCUCCUUUUGGGUAGUAGUAGAGAGUGAUAAGGUCUCUCCUGAGCCUCCUCUUCUCUAGGCUAAACAACACCAUCUCCCUCAGCCCUUUUUCAUAGGACUUUCUAGACCCUUCACCAACUCAGUUGCUCUUCUCUGGACUUUUUCCAGUACCUCAAUUUCUUUCCUGUAGUGAGGAGCCCAGAACUGGUCACAGCAUUCGAGGUGCAGCCUCACCAGCACCAAGUACAGAGGAUCAACCCCUUCCCUGGUCCUGCUGGCCACACUAUUUCUGAUACAAUUCAGGAUGCCAUUGGCCUUCUUGCCCACCUGGGCACACUGCUGGCUCAUGUUCAGCUGGCUGUUGACCAGCACCCCAGCUCCUUUUCUCCUGGGCAGCUUUCCAGGCACUCUGCUCCAAGCCUAUAGCAUGGUGUUGUUGUCACCCAAGCGUGGGACCCUUUAUGUUAUUAUUCUUGAUGAUUCAUUUAAUUUCCUAGUUACUGUGCCUGCAAGAUAGCCUUCACCCAAAUUACUGGAGAAAAUGCCCCUCUAACCUAAUGAGGGAUUUCACCUCCAGUUGAAAUGUUUCUUUUCCUUCUGCUCAGCCCCUCCCUGUAAUUUAGAGUGAUCUUGGAGCUUGCUUCUGCUGGAAAAACUCAACGUUUGGGCUUCUGAGCUUGCUGGCCAUGGCACGCAGGGCAGAGAAAAUGCUGGAAUGAAAAGAUGCUUUUAUAUCACUGUUUUUCUUGUGUAUCAUGAAAUCACUGCAGCACUAGGAGAGAAAAGGAAGGUUUUACAAUUGCGAGAGUGCAGUCUGGGGAAGAAAAACAAGUGUCCUUGAAAAUACCUCCUGGGUUUUGUUACACGUGCUUGUGGAUGCCAACAACAGGGAAAGGAACAGCACCAGGGAUACAGGAUAGAUUUCAAAAUAUAAAAAUGCAGAAAUGUUGUAGUACUGCGCUAGAGAAGAAAACAAAAAUGCCUGACUACACACCUAGCUACAGCAGAGAAGAAUGUAGACAAACCUCUAAAGUCUGGACAAUUCUCUGAGGAACAGGGGAACUGCCUUCCUGGAACAGGCUUGUGCUACUCUCCAGGCUGAAAUCUGGAUCCAGGGCUGACCUCCUCCAGAUGCUCCAGAAGAAAGCAAAAAGUCCCACAGACCUCUGAAAAACAAAAUCCUCAAGAAAGAUAUUAAAGGAAUAGUAUGCCAGUAAAAGAGAAUUCUUCAUAAUUGCCUUCAGUUAGUUACUGUCUUAUACUCAAAGCAAGAAAGCUUAGUUCAUUUCUAAGGUACUUUUAAUAGGCAAGGCACACAAGGAUGUAUGGAUAUUUUAAGUUAAGUGCUCGCUGCAUGAAAAUAAAGAGCAUAUAUUGCACUUGAAAACACUCAUAUGCAGAAACAAGUUACAUACCUUUAAAAACUGCUACAGAUCUGUGGGUUAGAUAGAGAAAGGUAAAAACUAGCAAGUCUGCACUGCUCUCGUAUUUUACUCUGAUUCCCAUUUCCAUCUUGCUGCAUUAUGUUCCAUUUGACAUCCUUUGCCACUUUUUAACCUGGAGACAUGUGCCUGCAGAGGCGGCUAUCUGUGUCAGACUUCCCCAGCAGUAGAACAAUUAUUGGUAGACUAAGAUUACGGCAUUAAAUGUGCUCAAAAUUCUUUCUCUGCACAACAGUUUAACACUCAACCUUGGAGUGCAAUGCUGAUCCCUCUGUGCUUGUCCAUUCCAGGACCCUGUAGCCAGCCUUCUGGGAUGCUGCAGGAGCCAGGUCCACACAUGCUUAAGCAACCAUCAGCAAAAUAAAAGUGGAAUAGAAAACUCUUUUUCUACAUACGUGUCUGCAAUACAGUUUGUCUACUUUGCUGGCAGGGAGUCCAAAUGAGACCUUUCCUUUUAGGAUAGCAAAAUUAAUCAUACCUGCUGUCUUAGGAGUAACAUUUAUGCAUCUCUGGGAAUGUGACCCUCAUUCUCUCUGCUAUAGACAUGACCCAGAUACUUUCCUGCCAUAUGCAGGAUACCUUAAUUUCUAUUUUUCUUUACAUCCCUCUCUCUUUCCCACCUCCUUCCUUCCUUCCUUUUUCUUUCUUCCUCUUACUUUUUCUCUUUCUCUUGGGGAUUGAGUAUAUGCAGCCUUACACAAACAAAAAGAGUUUACUCUUUUUUGUAGAAGAGUGGGGAAAGUUGUUGCAUGAGAGGAAAAUUCUACAGUUCAUUUUAAAGCUCUCCAUUCUACAAUUUUGAGUGGGGAUUGCUUCCAUGUUAGUGCCUCUAAAUGCCAUUGCACUGUCAAGGGAACGCAUUAUGCUUUGGGAACUGUAAAUAGGGCCACCUGAAAGAUCUGACUUGUAGGGAAUCAUAGGCGCUUACAGCCAGGUAAGCUACUACAAGCUGGAAACAGUAAACUGUUUGAUUGAUCUUGAGCUCUGUUCUGCUUAAGUCUGGGGUGAAGCAGGAGCACCCUUGGUUGGCUUUGUCACCACUGUAAGACCGUGGUAUCAAGUCUAAGAACUGCAGAAUAAAGACACUGCAGAGGGAGUACAAGUAGGGGCAGGGUCUGUCAGCCAGACGAGCAGAGGUCUUGGCCUGUCAGAAGCCUUACUGGAUUCUUCCAUGAGCAUAAGGGCAAAUGGGUUUUAAGAAAAGGUCUGAAAAAAUAUUAUUUUGUGGAUGUUUACAGCAAACUCUUCCCAAUGUCAAGAGUCACACAAAUGUGGUUGCUUACAAAUGUAAAAAUUCAACACAGAUGGAUUAGGGGGGAGUCAAGCUCCUGCUGCUGACUCUAAGACAAGAGCAGGCUGGGAAAUGAAGCGCCCUAGCUUAUGUUCGAUGAGGCAGAGAGGCAAAGAGAGAGAGAGCUGUAACUUGAUCAAAACAGUGAGGUUGGGAAAUGAUCUUCAGAGUGGCAUUCUCAAUCACCAUGAGCAGAGAAAACUCCAUUUGUCAGGAAGAGCAGAAAGACUGUGGCUUCCGUGGUCUACUGUGCUUUGUCCAGAUCAGGAAUGAACAAGCUUUUUAAUCUAUCAGGACCUUCCCUCUGCUCCAGCUGAUACGGACCUCUGGUUUUUGCCCAUCUCUAAUACAAAGGCUGCUUCUGAAUGAAAAAAGAGCUGCUUUAAGUCAGUCUUCAUUGGCAGAAGGAUCCUGUCCCUAGAUAGACCCUUGUCCACAGGAAAGUGGCAUCCAAUUUCUACUAUGCUGCUGUAAAACAUGGAGCCAGCCAUGACCAUGUUGAUCUACUUAGUUUUACUAGAUGAAAAUUGUAAUUUAAUAAUAGCACUGAUGUAGUGCAGAGCAAGACUUUCAGCUGUUAGCAACUAUAAGAGCUCUGCCAGCUUUGAGGGAAAUAAUCUGUUCAUGCCAGCCUAGAACCUGGCCUUCUAAAGAAAUCAAGGAACACUGAAAUUACCAAAGUCCCUCUUGAAAAACAUUGUAUUAACAUAAUUACCUUUUCUUGCAAGAACAGCUUGAACCUCUGCUCCAAGCUUAAUCAACUUCUAACUGCAAAUAUAUUUGAUUUUUUUCUUUGCAAUCAGUUGUAUAAAGAAAUAUAAUUGCCUUUUCACUCUUAUUCCCAUUGCUUGGGUUAUACUAGUCAAAGUUCAGAGCAGCUGAUGAGUUCAAGUUCUUUCACGCACUGAUUGCAAAGCUAAUCAGCUAGGUGAAAUGGGACUGAAAUACUGUUAUUUGCUCUGAUUUCUAGGAACAUAAAUAGCGACCAGAGCAUUUGUUCUUGAGCUGAACUAUUCUCUGGAUGCCUGCUUACAUUCACCCAAGAGCCAGCGGGCAGCUGGCUGCAAGACAUCAUGGUCUUGCUGCUAAAAAUUGGAAACAAAGCAGGCAGGACAAGAACAAUGCAGCCCUACAGGAUUUCUCCUAAAUUAGAGCUUUCACCAUGGGAGACUGAGCAGCUCAGGGGAAUUGGUAAUGGGAAACUGGAGCUGGGCACCUUGAGGCUGCCAAUCUGUACCUGAUCCAGGCUAGUAUUGGCUGGAAGCCUUCAGCAUCCAACAGCUCUUUAGCUCUUUUCUUGUCUUUGUGAAACUGUUAGCAGCCUCAGGCCAAUUCCUGGUGGAAAUAUAUCCACAGCACAAGGCUACCUUCACAGCUGGCAUAAGGCUGCAGCCUCGCUCACAUUUGUAGCAGGGAGGUGAAUUGAGGACAAGGUGGAGAUAAAGCUCCUUCCUACACUUUGAGGGGUCCUCUAUGGUCAAGGAGGAGGUGUGUAAGCAAAGCAUCAUGGGCAAGACAUUAUUGCUGCUUAAUGUACACUCAGAAGACCCUGGGUUAGAGGGGUGCAUGGGCAAGUGUGGCAAAGGAUUGGUCAGGAAUCACUAGAUAGGUCAGGAAAGGAGUAAAAGUGGGAAAAGUUGUCUGAACAAGGAAGCCAUCUGUGUACAGUGCAUGUCAACGGCAGUCAUCCUCUGUCCCUAUACAGUAUUUCUCCUGUGGGGACUGAAUGUGUGUUUCUGAUACACAACAGCCUAAUUUCUGUGAAAUUAGUGGGAAGGCGUGGGAUGUGCACUUUGUGUACCUUUAAAAAACCCCAGCAUUCACCUGAAAAGUGCACACCCAGCUGCUUGUGCCUGUGGUUCCUCAGGGUGAAAAAUUGCUCAGCCCUCAUAAUGCACAUUGCUCUUUCCAACUCUCCAAAUAAAUGGAAGAACAAAAAAACCCCAUAACAAUGUCAGAAUUAACAGCAGCUCCAAGGUCAUCACAACAUGGACUCUUUUCUUGGUCUAAAAGUGCCAAAAAAGCUGAACUGCAACAGGGAGAAUGCAUACAGCCUAAGGAGGAGAAAUAAGUCAUUGCAGCAGAGCCAAAUCUCCCAAACCAAACUGAUAUGUUCAAUUAAACCCUCACUUGCUACCUGGGGACAAGCUUUACCUAAACCUUGGGGCUGGCUAUCCACACACAGGCAGGUAAUCAGGUAAUGUAAGCAACUUGAUACCUACCUGAAAAAAAUAAAUAUGGGCUGGGUGUGCAGUACCUAAACUAAUUACUCCAAAAUGAUUGCCUGGAUUUGGGCCAAGCAUUAUCUCACUUGUCCUCAGCACUACUGCACUGGCAUGAGGGGAACAGAAAAUGUGGUAACUUGAGAGGGAGAUAAAAACAAGAGAGAGGGAGAAUUGAGAAUGGUCUUUAGCUGUGAAGGAGCUGUUCUGUCUCUGCACCACUCUUUGGUCCAACCUCAAUACAGUGAAGGAGCCUUUGUAUCUUGUCUCCUCCUUUUAAAAUGGAUUGUCAGCCAGAAGCAUUAUCCACAUAUACAUAGUCUAAACACUGUGAAUCAACCUGUUUUUUUCCCCUUGGUCUCCACAGAGCUAGACUCAUCCUACUGUCAAGAUUUGGGAGUAAUUUUUUUAAAGAAAACCACAAAUCCCUGGUCAUAGAAACCUGUCAUCGUAGUUUUCUAAGUAGGUCAUUGGUUAUAUAGUGAAUAUAAUUUUGAUUUACACUGAGUAAAACAGCGAAGUUCUAAUCCAGUCUAAUCCAGGAUUAUUUGCCUUAUUGAAGAGAAUUCCCUUUCCUUUGGUAGGUUUAAUGCAAAGCUGCAAAGAAUGUUUGUUUUAUUGCCAGUGGAGAAAAUUAGUAAUAUAGUUCCUGACAUAGUAAACUAUUAUACCGGACUUGCCUAGGAAUUUAGUACAAAUAAAUAAGGUGAAAGUCAGAAUUAGAAAACAGAGAGAAACACAGCAUCUCAACGUGUUUUAUCUUUCAUAUACUGUUAUCAGGAGAAAAUAAUACUUUUCAGGUAGGAGCUGGCGAAUCCUGCACUGUGUUCUAAAUGUGCCUGGAAAGUGUGGGCUUGGGAACUACCAGAGGUGUAUUUAUGGGGAAGGAAGGCAUCUGCAACUUAGCUUCCUGAGGGCUGUGCUUCAGGUUGAUGCAGAACUUACUGUGUGAAAUCCAUGACAGACAUCAAGUAGGAGGUGAAACAAUAUUGAAAUCCUAUGGCUCUUCCUUCCAUUUGCUGUUCUGUUUACCGUGACAUUUACAUCAUAUAAGGAACAUAUAAUAAUUGAGUGUUUUAGUAAUAAAUAAAACAUCAGAAAAGAAUAGGCAAGAAUGUGAAAUCAAUAAGCUUAGUUUUACAAGAAAACACAAGUCAGACUCUCAUUAGUGAAUCUAAUAAUCCAUCCCUAAUUCACUUAGGCAAUGCUUAGAAAGUCAGUAAAUGAUCAUUUUCAGCUCUUGCUCCAUAGGGAUAUACUGAUUUAACUCAAUGGAGAUUUGCUGAAACUUGCUGAAGAGUACAGACCUGAGGCACAGUGCUUCAUGCUGCAUCAGAACCUGCAAGCCACAUGUAUCCAAAGAAUAGAUAAACCAUGAUCAUUUAUGUGUGGUUCUCUGGCCUUCUGCAUUGUGUUGGGUGUGAGCUAGGCACACCAGUGUUUGCCUUGGUUCCCUGUCCAGGAAAAUUGGGGAGGUUCAGCUUUGACCAGAAAAAUACCAAAGAGCUAAGGGUUAGAGGACAGGGCAGUUUGGCACUACCUAGAAGCUAUAGCUGACAUUAGUGCUAAUAGAGAAGAUCGUGUUGUUACUUGAUCAAUUUCAUUGUUUCCCCUAUUUUUCCUUUUCGGUUUCCUUUUCCUUUCCUUUUUCCUUCCUUCUUUUUCUCUCUUUUUCCCUCUUUCUUUUUCUUUUUUUUCCUGUUUCUUUUCAUUUUCUUGUUCUUAAUCUUAUUCCUCUCCUCUCUUCUCCUUUCCUUUUUUUUUUCUCUCUGUCAUCUUUGGUGGUCAUCUGUAUUUAUAGACAAAGGGCCCCAAUGUGCCGUACAUGCUUGCUUCUUUCAAGGGAACCUGCAACCAAAAUUGCCUGUGACCUUUCCCAUGAGCAUGGGUAGAAAACUCUUCUUGUGUGAGAUAAAGAAAUUAGAACUUCAUUCUUCCAUGGUUUACUCCCAGGAAUGCAUUUUGGCAAGAUGCUAAGAAUAAACCAGGUAUUGAAAGGGGGAUCUGGGAAGCUGACAAGCAUGGCUAAGCCUGGCAGGGAAAUUUGACGAGGAAAUAAGAUGCUUUGUAUAUCAGUGUGUAGUGAUUAGUCUUUUGAAUGCUGGGAUUAUUAUAUAAGCAAAAAAGGAGGGGGGUACUUAUUGUAUGUGACAGCUAGCACUUAUACAGGUAUUCUUCAAACUAAUGAGGAACAUAAUGGUGUAUUUGUUUAUAAAUCUUGAGCAAGACUCCUGCAUUUUCCACAAGCCAAAUAAGCGUGAUGGAAAAGUAAAGACAACUUUUCUUUUUCUGCUCUUCCAAAUUAGAAUCACUACAGAAAGAACAGGUAAAAAAAAUCCAAUGAAUAUCCUGCCCCACCACUGACAUGCUACCUUCAGUCUUGGAGCCUAUCUUCAAACAAAAAGUGUAUUAUAUAUUUAAAACACAGACACCGUGUUUUUUACACUGUACACACAUGCCGGCAAUAACCAAGAAUCCAGAAAUCAGUGCACACAGAUAUUACUUGUCAUGAUGCUAUAUAAAAACCAACAGGUUAGGAAAAGUAAGUAAUAGAAAAAUCAAUUAAACAAACCUCUGAAGCCAUAAAAAAGAAAUUCGAAAUUCUAAAAUGUCCUAUAAAAAUAGGAAAUGAAGACUUAAGUUACAUUUCGCUCAUUUGUCUCCUUUUUCAUUAACAAUAAAUUCUUGUUUAGAAAACUAUGGUCUCCAUAUUAUCAAAAAAUUGAGCAGUACACAUAGAUAUUAUUUCCCCCUCUUAUAGCUUCCUUUCCCAACAUCAUAUACACAUACAAACAAAAGUAACUUGUUAAACUUACCUAAAAUUUUGCACAUAGAUUCUACUAAUAAGCAUUAUGAUUCUGUGUGUGCACGUGUAAAACCAGAGGAAAAAGUGAGGCAACAGAUUCAACUUCUGAUAAAACCUUGGAAUAUCUUACAGAAGUUUGUCUUCACACAUGACACAUAUCACAUGAUAUUAUUCACAAAGAAUAUGCUUGGGGAAACAGACAGAGUCAUUUACAAACUUCUCUGAACAUCCUGUAGGUUUGAUUCAAAAUAACCUAUUUGCAGCAUCAUUUGAUUAUCCUGGACAUUAUUAGGCAUUUUUCUUUAGUUUUCUGCAGUGUAGCUAGAAAACUAGC